UAGUCCACGCUGUAAACGAUGAGAACUAACUAUUGCGGGUAUUGACCCCUGCAGUGGUUCAGCUAACGCGUUAAGUUCUCCGCCUGGGGAGUACGGUCGCAAGAUUAAAACUCAAAGGAAUUGACGGGGACCCGCACAAGCGGUGGAGCAUGUUCUUUAAUUCGACGCAACGCGAAGAACCUUACCUACACUUGACAUACUCGUCGGGGAUUUCAGAGAUGAUUUCCUUCGGUUCGGCCGGACGAUGUACAGGUGCUGCACGGCUGUCGUCAGCUCGUGUCGUGAGAUGUUUGGUUAAGUCCAGCAACGAGCGCAACCCCUAUCGUAUGUUACCAGCACUUAGUUGGGGACUCAUGCGAGACUGCCGGUGUUAAGCCGGAGGAAGGUGGGGACGACGUCAAGUCAUCAUGGCCCUUACGUGUAGGGCUAGAAACGUGCUACAAUGGGAGUUACAGUGGGCAGCAACGUCGCGAGGCGAAGCAAAUCCCUAAAAGCUCUCUCAGUUCGGAUAGGA
rnacentral:rRNA from 1 species